UCGUGCGGCUGCCUCUCUGUAACCUUUGAACUAUCAUGGAAGAUUGUGAUCUCAUUAUUUUGUUUUCCUGUCUUCCUUUCGGAAGUUUCCUCUACGCUUACGUCAGUUUGAAGUAAUCAAAACACUGUCGUUUUAGAAUUCCUUUUUGGGUUGAAAAAUCCACUGAUAUAUACGUACCAUUUGGUUUGACCAAAGAAAAUAUGUACCAUCAUCAUUGGUUGGUAGUUUGAAUUAGUGCAAGAAGCAGCCGGUUCCAAACUAGUGUAAGAGUUACCAUAAACAUAAGAUAGUUUUGCUUCAAUUUGUUAUUUAUAAUAGAUGAAUGCUAUAUUUGUGGAAAUUCUCUUAAUUGAGUGGUUUAAUUUGAGGGUUCGUCAAUGUUUAUAUAUUAGUUUCGAGUACAAGAGAAAGAAAUUUAUGAAUAUUAAUGAAGACAAAAUGUACAAAUAUCUUCAGCAUCGUGUAAGUAUAACCGUCAAAUCGUAUAUUUUCAGAACAUGUAUAAAACAGUAUAGUUAAAUGUAAAUUAUCAUAAAACAUGUUAUAUAAUAUUUAUAACUAGGGUCGGCCCGGGCUACGCCCGGGUUUUUUGUUUAAAUUUUAAUUUUGAUUAUAUAUUUUGUAUAUUUAUUUAAUAUAUAUAUAGUAUAACCUAUUAUAAAAAUAUAAGCUAUUAAAUUAUUUAUAACUAUGCAUUUUUUUGUCUUAUGAAUUGAAAAAUUUUAAAUCCAAAUUUUAAUAUCCAAUUUUUUAUAUUUUGUAAUUGGAAACUUUAUAUAAGGUGAAGAGAAAAAUUAACAAAAUUAAUUAAAUUUUAGUUAUAGUGUUUGAUUGGUUGGACUAUAGAUAUGUUUCAUUUCACUUACACCUUUUUAUAUCUUUUGUUUCCAAUUAGUUCUAAGCAAUUUAAUUGACCAUCCCCCUUGAAAUCUACAAUCUUACUUAAUGUUUUUUUUUCAAAAAUCAGCGGUUAAAAUGUUAUAAUAUUUUCUACAUCAAAAAUUUACAAUUACAUCAGUAAAAAUUACAUACUAAAUUAUUUAAACAAAUUUUCUGCAUUUAUAACUAACUAAUCGGACCUAUAAUCUGAAUAUUUUUUUAUCUCACUUAUAUAAGUUUUUCGAUUACAUAUUGUUAAAUGGACAACCCGAUAAAAUUUUAUUUAAGUUUUAGAACCAUUGAAUUCAUAACUUUAAUAGGUGUUUGAAAAUUUGUCUUUCCAAUUUUGUAUGUUCCGCUUCAUCAUGCAAUAUAUUUUGAUGUAAUUGCACCAUCUAUGUUUAUAUAUACAUUGUUUCAAAAAAAAAUCUUCUAUAUAUAUAUAUAUAUAAAGUGGAUAUAUAUAAUCAAUUUUGAACAAUGACCAUAAUCGUAUAACAAAUUGUCGUUACCAAAGUAUAACAAAUUUUGUGUUGUUGUUUUAUUUAUAUUAUAGCAGUGAUGUCACAUGAUAAUGCACAAAUAUGUGGAACUCACGUUUCUCCUCUUUAAACAAAAAAUAUAGACUGCCAAGCUAAGCUAUUAAAGUAUGUAUUGACCUGUGAAACUCAGGUUUUUUUCGUUUUUGGGGUUUUUGCUUGUUCCAAGCAGCAGUAAAGUAAUUCACAGUUAA